AGGAAACGGGCAUUUGAAGUACUCUUGUUUAUUUGUCAAUCAGAUGUUGAAUAAGUUUCGCAAAAAUUGAUAAUAUAGUUAUAAUUGCAGUUUUGAUAUCAGUUGGUUGAAGUCAUAGUUUUGAAAGAAAUCUUGUGCUUGUAGAGAUCAGUGAACAAAUCUCUUGUAUUACAUGAGUUACAUGCCGAAGUAUAAUUUUUCAGUUUCCCAAUCAAAAUGAAAAACGUAGAAUGUCCAUUGCUGUCACACAUACACGUUCUGCUUUAACUACUGUUUCUGUUUAUUCCUUUUGGAGAUUUGCUGCAUCUCUUUUUGCUUGUUUCAACCAAUUGAUGGAUCUCAGUCUAUUUGUUCGGUCUUUUUUUUUUUAAGAUGCCAAGGUAUCCCAAGAGUGUUGUCUCUCUAUCAUAUAGCCAUGAUGGAUUGCUUUUAGCCGUUGCAUCCAGUUAUGCAUACCAAGAAGCUAAUGAAAUAGAAGAGCCACCUCAGAUAUUUAUACAUGAAAUGGGGAACUUUUAUCUCACGUCGCCUUCUUCUGGAGCUUCAAAGUACAAAUGACUGCAAAUACACAUCUCAGAUUCUGGUUGUUGCUUCUGUUUCCUUUAUACAAGUCAUCUUGUUUACUUGAUGCAGUAGUUAUCACUUAUCAAUCCUUAAUAAUAUAUGGUUGCUGAUAAAAAGAUUUGCUUUCCCUCAUUAUUCUCUAGUUCAAGCUACAACUCUUAUACAGUAAUUUUUGCUGGUACCUGUGCACGAAUUGGCUUUUCCUGGCUCGCGUUCCCUGAUGUCUAUUUUGACUCUUACCAAGAUUAGAAGGAAAGUGCUCAACAGAAAAUUGGAUACCAGAAUGUAGAAUUUUCACUCAUGUAUUAAUGUCUACUAACAAAGUGUUUGCUCCAAGUGGAAUAUAUUUCGGAGUUGUAUUUUUCAUCAACUGUGAAAGAAUGUGUUUCUUGAGAAAUCGUAUUUUAUGUUCUUUUGCUUGGUUGAGGUUAUAGCAAAUGUUUUUCUUCUUUAGGUUAUA